GCUGUGCUGUGUCUGCACCAGAAUUCAGAUGUGCUCUGUUUUCCUUGGUUUCCACAGACCCAGGGCUUUUCUUCCAACACCCUUUUGCACUGACCCUUUUUACUGACUUCUCAAAUAGAAGGAUUAAGGCUGAAGAAGCACGGGACAGGGCUUACGGGAUUGGCAGAUCUGAUUCUGGGGACUGUAGGCUGUUACAGAGCUUCCACUGCUCUCUGGUCCUGGCAGUUCUACAAGUCCCUUGCAGCCCUGGGUCACUCUACAGGGAUAUAUGAAAGCCAAAUUAACUUUCCUCUGGGAAGCAGUGUCACUGGAGUUAACAGAACACUGGGUGCCCAGCGCUCAGGUAACUCAUUAACCACAUUAACCAAUGCUUGAACUAUCAGCUUCCAGAAGGCUCUGGUCUCUUCUGAGAAUGUAGGCCACGACAGUCCUUGUGACACCUUACACGUGACACCGUGGGGAUUUAGCUAAAUAAAUACAUCGAUGUCCCUUAAAAUAAGAACAGAAGAAGAUUCAGGCAGUCGGUGACUAUGUUCUCCUUCCUUCUGAAUUUCCCUAGAGAAAAUUUCUACUCAUCUAAAUUUUAUGUGAUGGAAAAAAAGUGUCUGCAGAUGCCCUGGAAAUAUAGACAACAGUGUCCCUGUGGCCUGAUGGUGACAGCAGCUGGGUCUUAGGCUGCAUUCCUACCUGAGCUGGCUCUUGUUCCAGGACCCACAGGCCUCCAAGGUGACCUUUCUUUUUUAAUCCUUAUGCUGUAGAGAUUGUUCAGUAGUUUCAGUAAAGAGCAGCCUGGACAAAAUCCUGAGUGGCUUGCCAUCAAAGUUGAAUCCAGAAAUCUAAGACUCUCAGCUUAAAGCCAAUCACUUGGAGAGGAGUGAGUCCCGGAAUCAUUAUUCCUUUUCAUAACUCUGCUUGCUCCACUGUCUGUGGGUUCAGUAGCAGCUUUUUUCAGAAGGGUCUGCCCAGGCCUGAUACAGAAAACAACCCCGGGGAAUACGUGUGGCCCACCCUGGAGAGCAGAGACCGGCUGCUGCUUUGCAGUGGCCUUGACAAAGAAGUUCAAUCUUUGGGUGUCAUUUAGUCUCCUCCCAAAGCAUGCAGUAGUUUUGGAUCUCCAACAUUCCCUUUGUGUGGUGACACCUGGAGUUCUAAAAGACUGGCAGCGCCUCAGAUGGGCCUUUGGGUUGCCAGAUCAGACCCCACAGCCUUGCACGUCCGUCAAGAUGUCUGUGCACUGCAGCCAGCCUCAAGACAGCCUGCUGUUUGGUUGUCAGAUCCAACAGAUAAAGCCCCUCCUCCACUGUACCCUAGCUUUCACAUCCAAGCUUGUUAUCAGUCCCACAGCCCAUUUCAUGGUGUUCCCGGAGCAGAUUAAACAACAUCAGUCUCAGACAGCCAGAAGGAAGAAUCUCAUCUCAUCCCAUUUCCGUAGAGCUAGCCAAUCACAGUGUCUCUGGAAUGCAAAGACAGAGAGGCUGUCUCCAUUCUCUUGAUCUUCCUUCAUGGUCAUCAGGUGGGUAGCACGAGGCAAGACUGUUCAUCACGUCUUUCUUCUUUAUCACUUGUAACCUUAAUUAGCAGAUUUUAGGAAGCACUAUACUAAACGCUGUCUGUAUGUGACAUUUCAUUUGAUUCUACACCAGAGAAGGAAAACAGAGGUAGAGAUAACUUUCUUAGCAUCACACAGGCAAGGAUGGUAUAUAGAAUGGAGUCUUGAGCUCUGGCAUCUUGGCUCCAGAACCCUCCUGGGGUCAAAAUACUUCUUUAUAAGGAGAGAAGGCAUUUCCCAGAAGCCCUUGGGAAGAUUCUUACCUUAUGGCUCAUUGUUUAAAUGUGGGUCACAUGACUUCCCUGGCUGUAAUACAAGUGCAGCUUUAUGGAAUUGACCUUAAGGCUGAAAAGGUCAGGUGAGUAGUCAACCAACAGUCUGUCCCAGGUACAGGAAAAACAAUGGCCUUUGUUAUAGGGGAGAAGUCUGAGGCAUACUGAGCUGCUAGGUGGAAGUCCAGGUCAGGGUUUGCUUGGCUUGCUGCCAAUGGGAGAAGAGACCUGGUAUUUGCUCAUAGCCAGCCAGAAACAGUGGAACUGCCAGCAGCCUGUCCUCCAGCCAGUAGGCCGAUGUCUGAGCAGGAACAGGUCUUAUUAAAUUAUUCAUUCUGAUUUAAUGGGGGAGGAAAUCAGAUACAACAGGUGUGGUUCUGCCUGCUUGCUGAAUGGCUCAAACCUAGCUUUUAGAUACUUGCUGCCUCGGGGAAAAGCAGCAGGCAGAAAAAUCAACAGUAUUUUAAGCUAAUUACUGAAAUGCUGCAAUACCUGUCAAAUAGGGACAUUUUGUUCUGUUGACAGUGGUCACAGAAUAGAACUAUGGGAAGGAAAAAGGCAAUUUGCUGUUCACAAUUCAGAAAGAAAAAAAAAACUCUCAGAUACAUGGUCACAUUCCAAGUAUUAUUCUACCUUCUUAGAAGCUCAGGUGAAAUUUCAUUUUUACAAGCUCAAAGAGACUCCUCAGUUGCUACAUUAGAGAGGAAACUCAUUAAACUUGAAGUCUAUUACUAUAAUAUGCUAAAAUAGAAGGUGUUGUGUCUGCUUUAAAACAACUUGCAUCAAGCCAAUGUUAGCCAUCGAGUUGAGUUGAUUUGCAGUGGCACAUGGGACGGAGAAGAAGGGGUGAGUGCAAAGAGUUGCCUGGCCGUUCCAUGUCUGAGAAGAGGGGAAGCUGAAAUGAUGCUCCAUCCUUCUGUGGUGAUGUAUUUGAAUGCAGCAAAGUUGUUUGCUGAAGUACGAUGGGGAAUUUAUGUUCCCAUUUGGAGUUUCACCUGAGGCAGAGUGCUACUUCCACACUCACCCCUUUAAGCCAGCAUGAUGCCAGUGACUUCAAGGCUCCCAAGAACAAUCGGACCACAAUGUGGAAAAGACAUCAUGACGUGGAAGAAAAUGGCUGUGCAGAUCACCUCUCCUGUACUAUUACAUGAAAAAAAAAAAAUCAAUGAAGUUUGGGGGUUGAAUAAGAAUAGCCUCAUAGGCUCAUAUGUUUGAAUAUUUGUUCUUCCAUUGAAACUGUUUGGGAAGGAUUUGAAGAUGUGACCUCAAGAUGUUCAGGUGCCAGUCCUGCUGACAUGCCCUGGCCUCGGCCAUCAUGGACUCUAACCCUUUGAAACUGUGAGCCCCAAAAUAAACACUUCCUUUUUUAAGUUA